rnacentral:snRNA from 1 species
AGCUUUGCGCAGUGGCAGUAUCAUAGCCAAUGAGGUUUAUCCGAGGCGCGAUUAUUGCUAAUUAAAGAUGGAGUUUAUACAUUGUUUCAUGGUUCUACAGAUUGAAAUCAUAUUUUUAUAAAAAUUAAAAUA